UUUCUAACUUUGACUCUAUAUUUCUUCACAAAUUUAGAUCAAAGCAAUAAACUUAAAGUUUGAACUCUCUCCAGGCGGAGUCUCGAGGAUUUGUAAGAAAACUCCUUGGAUCCGUUUUGUCGUGAAGAWAAUUAAUUAGAUAAUUGUUUAUUUGGUUGCUUUUGCCUAAAACUUCGCGAAAACAUUAAGAUUUAAUUAGUCUCUACACUGUGGCGAGCGGGUCAAAAUUUGUAUUGCAUUUUAACUUCAAUAUUUAUCAGAGAAACGAGACUGCUUGUCGAAUGUUUGAAUCUCGACCGUUUAUGGUGACGUUUUUCAUCUGCUGGACAAUCAAUACGUUCAUCAUUUCAUUCAUUCAAUAACAAGACUUAACAAGAUAAUUCGUUUUUCAUUCAUUUUUUAUUCUUCCGUUUGAUUUAUUCAUUUAUUCGUCAGGUCAUACAAUCAUCCAUUUGUACUUUUGGCGCUCAUUUCUUCAACUAGAUAUUUGCUCAUAUCUUCAUCCAUUCAUUUUAUCCCGGCUUUAUCUAUCCUAUAAUCCAUUGAUUCCCCUUAUUGUUUCAACCAUUCAUCUACCCAUUUUCACUAAUUCAUUUAUUCAUAGUCCACCUAUUCGUCUUUAACAAAUGUUUGUUGUCAUAUUGCGUGAUUUGUACUCGUCAGUCAACUCCUGCUGUUGCUAAACUCACUACAAAAUACCUAUUCUACUUUUUAUCACAUAAUCCAAUCGAAAUGGGAAGUUAUUUGUCAAAAACUGUAAAAUCCAUGAAAAUCCUCUCAGAUUACGGCAAAAGAAAGAGUUUUUCUCGGGAUUUUUGGGAAACGGUUAUUAGGUAAACAUAAUUURGUGUGUAACGGCUAUUUGUUUUUUCUCUUUUAAUUUAAAUGUGAGAUUACAGUGCAGUAUUUGUUCUUUUUCAUUGAAAUUCGGAUGAUUACUUUUUUCCCUGAAUCGGUGAAAGUACGUCACCACCUAUCGCUGUUGUUUUUGUGUUCUGUAAUGGACCGACCUACUUACUUCAUAUCCCUCUUAUGCCUUAUUCACACUAAACUUUUAACUUUUUCUUCUUAAUUUCAUAUUCACGCUUUAAGGAAGACAAGGUGCCGGUUUCUUUAUUGGUAGUAAUAAAAAGAAUAAAAUCUCGAGUCAAAUGACUGAAAUGUCAAWUUUUUUUUUCGUGAAGGCGUUAUGGUUUUCUUUUUCGCCCAAGUGAUUUGACGAGAUUUUGCGUGUUUAUGGAGUUUUGUUGACAAAAUUGCGUGCCCUCMAGCGCCUAAUUGUUAUGAACCUAUUAUUCCAUAAACAUUUUAGAUUUUGGUUGACUCGUUUUUUAAUUGAGCAGGUAAUAAAGAACCACGAUACCCUAAAGAUAGUUAUGCUCGUUCGUGAGUAUUUUAUCGCGUCAUAUCAGUGUUACAUCAUGGUAUAUCUGUGAUUGUCUUUAUACAUGGUGCUUCAGAACGUCUUCUGAGUUUAUGAAGUUAAAUGCUUAUUGACCGAGCGCAUUGCGGGUUUCCAUUGAACUACUAGGUUAUUGAUGGAGUAACUAUGGAAACUAGAUCUGUUGUCGCCCCGUGGCCGCUUGAACAUCCGGCCGUUGAGAUGAAAAUCUUCCACUCAGUUUUACUGUAAUUUGCAUAGAAUUGAACACAGUUUGCCUUGUYGGCUGCCCUAUCACAAACCCGAAACUCCACAAAAGCCAUGAAUGGAUACGGUGUUUGAAUAAUCCAAUAGAAUUGUUCUGUAUCAAAGACUGUGAUAUAUUGCUGUUUAAAAGAGCAGUUUGGAAGGGAACUCCUGUUAUUUUUCCUCAUUGCAUCUUGAAAUUCUUUCGCCCAAACAAGAGGUGUGAAUGGCUAUUGCACUGAAAAAAGGCAUUGUAAAUUCAAUAUUUCGUGCUGCCUUGGCGAGUGUGUCGAUCGCGUGUCGUGUAAUGGCUUCUGUCGCUAUAAUAACGACUGCCCAAACGGACAGCACUGUAACUCGAACGGCUAUUGCACUAAUGGUUGUUAUUCUGUCAAAGACUGCCCAACUGGCUUUGCUUGUAAUUCUGCAUCGUGUAUAAAAAAAUGGCGGCCUGGUGCAACUGGGAACGACGUUGACAUUAAACCCUUCUCAAAAAUCGAAGAAUCGAGUUCGAUUCUUGGACUUCUGAUAGCCGGGAUUGUGGCUUUGUUGUUUUUCGCAUGGAUAUGUUGCCARUGUUUUCGUUUUCGUCUCCGCAGACAAGACUAYCAACUUGGAAGUCUUAGAUUUGACGAUUUAAGYCCUACGUCGCCUCACAACGAAGUUUGCGAGCGUCAUGUUUGUCGUUGCGAAGCUUCAAGUGCWGGGAACAUAUGUAAUGACAGAUCUGAGUGUAGACUAUCUCUACCUGACGAUGGACCUCCWAGAUAUAGCGCUAUAUUUUGUGAUCAAAGUCCCACAACWCCGCCGCCGAGUUACGACGAAGCUUUGCGAAUUGUACGCUUAACACAAAUACGGACUAGCGUGUUCAUUCCCAGUUCACAAGGAACUGUUGUAUAGCAAAAACGAAAAACGACAUCAGUAUUUUCUAAAUAAAUUAUUCCCAUAAUUAUAUCUAAUUCAAAUUGAGUUUAUCAAAAGUUGUGGUGAGGUUUGAAAAACGUGCUAAUCAAAUACACACAUGACAUGCAAUUUGGAAAGAAAGCUUUUCUGGUUUUAAUCRUUUGAUUUGGUAUCAAUUUCAAACAAAACUCUAAUAAUGGGGGAUUAUUAUCAUUUAGAUGGUUUUGAGAUCAGCUGCCCUCAUCCUUGAGUUUUAGUAGGAUUUUUUUUGCUGUAAAACGACCGCUAUUUCAAUCCGAGUGCCUGUCAUAAUCCUUAACGAAGAAUACUUUGACAUUCACUCUUUUAAAGCUUGACUUUUCGAUUUUUGAAUCAAUUAUUUUUUCUAAACCCKUCGAUAUUAAAUAAACUGGUUCAUGUUGUGUUUUGUAAUGUCCUUAAUUCGCUACAAAGACCGAAAGCUAAAAAAACCCACUCRACAACACAUAAUAUGGAGUCAAGACAACAACAACAUUUUUACUUUCUUAAUAUACCUUAAACUCUAAAAUAUCAUUGUUUUCUUUUAUGUCUGACUUUCUUCCUUUCACAGUCAAAUUCUAUUUCAUGGAUUCAGUAAUGAGAAUAUUUUCAUAUGUGUUUAUAUAUCAAUACCAAAAAGCCACACAAAUGAAUUAGUGCAAUCCUCGAAAGUGUAUUUUUAAAGACUUGGUCGACACUUAAAGCGUUUUUUAGCGUGUUCUAUUGUUUUUCCUUAUUUUGGUGGCAAACACUAAUCCAUCAACAACUUAAGUAAUUAAGUAGUGUACUUAAAUUGUACUGAAUUUUCCGAAUUCCUUCGUUUUYUAUUGUCUAAUCUAUAAGUACUAUUUGGUUAGCACUUUUUCAUCCUUUUAUGCUGUUUUGGUUCUACAACCGAUAUGAACAACAACAAAAAAGUACAUUGACAAAUAAGUUUUGAAGCGGCCAUUUUCUUUUGUGACUAAAAAUCAGCGAUAAUCCCAUGUCAUUUACACUAGACUCGAGUGAAAUAGAUAUGAGACUAAUAUAAUUUAGCAGUCGCUAAUUCCAUUGAUUUCUCUUGUGGAUAUUGGGGUAUUAUAUCUUGAGUAUUAGAUUUCCUUUCCGAGGUUUAAAUGUCCUCGGAGAAUAUCCUCGAAAUGUAUGAGUGUGUUUUUGUCUGUUUUUUUWUYYUUUCUUUCUUUUCCUCUCUCUCUCUUUUCAUUAACCGUUAAAAGAAAAAAAGUCUAUAUUUAUAGCAGCUUGAACUAGAUGAUAUAAAAGACAGCCGACUACUACCGAGUAUAUUUUUGAUUCACUGAAAGUCUUGAAACCGGUAACGUGAAGACAAASAAAAUCUUGCUCAAUAAAAAGUAAUAAAGUCUUGCA